GUUCAGAACCUAUCGAGUUCUCUGUGCCGGAUCGCCCAAGAUUGUUCACGGCCCCAUCUUGGACAGGAGGCUCCGAUCUAGCGAGGGGCCCCGUUAAGAACGCCUCCCCUGCUCCCUAAGGUCGGCUGCUUCAGCCUCUUCCUCUCAGGGGGCCCUCGGCUCUUCACUCCAGCUUUGCCGAUACCUGCUGCCAGGCGAAGCGCAGACAUGAUGGAUCCAAUCCAGCUGACUUGCUCAGAGGAGCCAUCAAAUUCUCUUUGAAAAACCACGAAGAAGAUGGCAAACGUUUUCAGGGUUCCCAGCACGCACACGUUCACCUGAAUUCCGGCAAAGAGAAGACACGGGUCUCGUCAGAGGGGCUGAGCUAAUCCAGAUCGAGUUGCUUCUGCCAGAGGUUAUGGCCUUCCUUUUCCUCCUGUAUUUACCCAUUUGAAGCCUUCCCGGACUCUGGCCUGCAAAUGAAAUGGUGGAUUUGAUCCAGGGCUUGCAGACGGAAAUUGUAUAAAUGACCUCGCUGACUUUUCUUUGCUGGAUCAAACGGUCAAGAAGCAAAGUGCGUGGAAGCGUCAGGUUGGAUACGAGCUUCACAAGUUCACUCUAUUUCAGUGUGAGAACAAAUUCAAAAAAAUUGCCAGUCCCUUCUCCCCCGUAGAGCUACCCUGGAAGUGAAAUGAAGCAACGUGGUGGAAGUGAGACUCAAGUCGGAACUUACUGUGUACAAGUGGCGUUUCACAGAACGGCUUGCAAAUAGAGCACCCUAUAAUACUUUCAUAGGGACAGACGUACGGUCCCUAAAAAUAAAAAUAAUUGUGGUAUUUGUGAA